GUCUACAGAUAUUCUCGACAUUCCAAAUGUAAGAUCUGGCCAGAUGAAAGGAAAGAGGCAACUGAUCAGGGAGAAGAUGGACUAUUGUUUUGAAAGAUAGGUUCUUGACGGAUGGGUUUCCAGUCCUUGGGAAGAAAAAUGAGGGAGAGGAAGAAAUAAAGGAAGAGUAUAUGAGGCAGCAGGAAGAAGAGGAACUGGGG
rnacentral:lncRNA from 13 species